rnacentral:misc_RNA from 1 species
GGAGGGUGUUUUUGAUUUGAUUUGCUUGCACUUUUAGAUAUUUUAAUUUGUUUCGUAUAACUGUGUAGAAUUUUAUUCUUUGCAUUAUAGGCUAGCUAUCACAUUUCUACCUCCUGUCUAUCUUCAUUUUAUUUAAAAAAUCGCCAUUUGAUUCUCACGUCUCAUCAACAACCCAUUUUGCCAUUUCAGGAUAUUAAUAGAUUUUUCUCUUCUAUAUUUAUUAUUGGAUGUGUAAUCUAAUAAUGAAAUACUUGUUUCUCUUAAUAUAUUUUGUUAGGAUUUUAUAUGGUCCUUCAAUUUUAUUUUCGUAUCAUCAGUACUUGUAUUUGUUAUCAGUAUCUGUUCUUGUGUUGGAUUUAGAAAUGGAAAAUUUUCAGGAAAACAAAAACAUGUGCAUCUGCGCGAUAGGGUUGCAUAGACAGGAUAGACUUUAACUUAUACGGAUAAGUAUUGUCACAAAGAUAAGAAAAAUGUGAUUAUAUCCAUAAAUCAAACACACACAAAGAAAGAUUCUUUUUCUCACUGCUUUUCAUUGAAUAAAAGCAGCAUUUUCUGAAAAAUGGGUAAUAGCUGAUUUCAAGUAGUGUUUUGGACUGACCUUAGACGAGCGUUAUUAUUUAGUUAACACAAUAUUGAGAAAGAUCCAUAGAAUGACUUGUCAUUGAGAAAGUGUGACAAGGUCCAACAAGUGAUAAACGUAAUCAAAUCAACUAUAAUU